CGCCGCGCUCAAGAGUCAAGACUAAAGUGGAAGAAGAGUUCAACACGUGCUCUCUGCUAACAUCGUAAACUGCAGAACAUACAACUUCAUCUCGCUUUAAAUUCGCAGCGCAUUUAAAAUCUUACGAUGCCAGCCCAAAUCAUCUGCGGGAAAACGAUCUCAGCUCAGGUAAGAGGGAGGCUGAAAGAAGAGGUGGAAGGCAUGAGAAUGACUCAUCCCAAUUUCAAACCAGGCCUGGUGGUGUUACAGGUGGGAGACAGAGAGGACUCAAACUUGUACAUCAGCAUGAAGCUAAAAGCAGCUACUGAGGUA